rfam:Nicotiana attenuata strain TT chromosome 3, whole genome shotgun sequence.
AAAUGCAACGACAACCAACGUAAUAAAUAGUCACAGGAGUGUGCUUGGGCGAGAGCAGUACUAGGACGGGUGACCCCCUGGAAGUCCUCGUGUUGCAUCCC